UACGUAGGUGGCGAGCGUUGUCCGGAUUUACUGGGCGUAAAGAGCGCGCAGGCGGUUCGUUGUGUCGGCGGUGAAAGCCCCGGGCUUAACCUGGGAAUGGCCGUUGAAACUGGCGAACUGGAGUGUGGCAGAGGGGGGUGGAAUUCCGCGUGUAGCAGUGAAAUGCGUAGAGAUGCGGAGGAACACCGAUGGCGAAGGCAGCCCCCUGGGCUAACACUGACGCUCAGGCACGAAAGCGUGGGGAGCAAACAGG
rnacentral:rRNA from 1 species